AGAGUUUGAUCAUGGCUCAGGACGAACGCUGACGGUGUGCUUUAGGCAUGCAAGUCGAACGAGAAAGCCCUUCGGGGUGAGUAAAGUGGCGAACGGGUGAGUAACACGUGGGCAACCUGCCCCUCGCAGGGGGACAACCGGAGGAAACUCCGGCUAAUACCCCGUACGCUUGUUGGAUCGCAUGGUCCGGCAAGGAAAGGUAGCUUCGGCCAUCCGGCGAGGGAUGGGCCCGCGUUGCAUUAGCUAGUUGGUGGGGUAACGGCCUACCAAGGCGACGAUGCGUAGCUGGUCUGAGAGGAUGAUCAGCCACACUGGGACUGGGACACGGCCCAGACUCCUACGGGAGGCAGCAGCCAGGAAUCUUGGGCAAUGGGCGAAAGCCUGACCCAGCAACACCGUGUGGGUGACGAAGGCCUUAGGGUCGUAAAGCCCUGUUGAUAGGGACGAAGGGCGAAGGGUUAAUAGCCCCUAGCUUGACGGUACCUUUCGAGGAAGCCCCGGCUAACUACGUGCCAGCAGCCGCGGUAAUACGUAGGGGGCGAGCGUUGUCCGGAAUUAUUGGGCGUAAAGAGCGUGUAGGCGGUUCGGUAAGUCUGCUGUGAAAUCCUGGGGCUCAACCCUGGGCGUGCAGCGGAUACUGCCGGGCUAGAGGGUGGUAGAGGCGAGUGGAAUUCCGAGUGUAGCGGUGAAAUGCGCAGAUAUUCGGAGGAACACCAGUAGCGAAGGCGGCUCGCUGGGCCACACCUGACGCUGAGACGCGAAAGCGUGGGGAGCGAACAGGAUUAGAUACCCUGGUAGUCC
rnacentral:rRNA from 1 species